AGAGUUUGAUCGUGGCUCAGGAUAAACGCUAGCGGCGCGCCUAAUGCAUGCAAGUCGAGCGAUGAGGUCCUACGGGGCCAUCAGCGGCAGACGGGUGAGUAACACAUGGGUAACCCACCUUCAAGCCGGGGAUAACGUGUGGAAACGCACGCUAAUACCCGAUGCGUACGCUUAAGAGGAGACUGUGAGCGUAGAAAGUUACGGCGCUUGAAGAGGGGCCUGUGGCCCAUCAGUUAGUUGGUAGGGUAACGGCCUACCAAGGCGAAGACGGGUAGGGGGUGUGAGAGCACGGCCCCCCACAAUGGGACUGAGAGACGGCCCAUACUCCUACGGGAGGCAGCAGCAGGGAAUCUUGCGCAAUGGACGGAAGUCUGACGCAGCGACGCCGCGUGGGUGAAGACGGCCUUCGGGUUGUAAAGCCCUUUUCUGGAGGAAGAGGGAGGACGGUACUCCAGGAAUAAGUGUCGGCUAACUACGUGCCAGCAGCCGCGGUAAUACGUAGGACACGAGCGUUAUCCGGAUUUACUGGGCGUAAAGCGCCUGUAGGCGGUUCUUCAAGUCGUUUGUGAAAGCCCUGGGCUCAACCUGGGGAGGCCAAGCGAUACUGGAGGACUUGAGGGUGACAGAGGGGAGUGGAAUUUCCGGUGUAGCGGUAAAAUGCGCAGAUAUCGGGAGGAACACCAGUGGCGAAGGCGGCUCCCUGGGUCACACCAGACGCUGAGAGGCGAAAGCUAGGGGAGCAAACAGGAUUAGAGACCCUGGUAGUCCUAGCCCUAAACGCUGGAUGCUAGGUGUGGGAUCGAGAGGUUCCGUGCCACAGCUAACGCGAUAAGCAUCCCGCCUGGGGACUACGGCCGCAAGGCUAAAACUCAAACGAAUUGACGGGACCCCGCACAAGCAGCGGAGCGUGUGGUUUAAUUCGAUGCUACACGAAGAACCUUACCUGGGAUGGACAUGGAGGUGGUAGGGAGCCGAAAGGCGACCGACUCUUCGGAGAGCCUUCACAGGUGCUGCAUGGCUGUCGUCAGCUCGUGCCGUGAGGUGUCGGGUUAAGUCCCGUAACGAGCGCAACCCCUGCCCUUAGUUACAAGUGUCUAAGGGGACUGCCGGCGACAAGCCGGAGGAAGGUGGGGAUGACGUCAAGUCAGCAUGGCCUUUAUAUCCAGGGCUACACACACGCUACAAUGGGCGGUACAACGGGCAGCGAAGCCGUGAGGCGGAGCGAAUCCUGAAAAGCCGUUCCCAGUUCGGAUUGCAGGCUGCAACCCGCCUGCAUGAAGUUGGAGUUGCUAGUAACCGCGCGUCAGCCAUAGUGCGGUGAAUACGUUCCCGGGGUUUGUACACACCGCCCGUCACGUCAUGGGAGUCGGCCACGCCUGAAGCCGGUAGCCUAACCGGAAGGGGGGCGCCGUCGAAGGUAGGGCUGGCGACUGGGACGAAGUCGUAACAAGGUAGCGGUACCGGAAGGUGCGGCUG
rnacentral:rRNA from 1 species